rnacentral:rRNA from 1 species
GUGAGGUAGUGGCUCACCAAGGCAACGACGGGUAGCUGGUCUGAGAGGACGAUCAGCCACACUGGGACUGAGACACGGCCCAGACUCCUACGGGAGGCAGCAGCAGGGAAUAUUGCACAAUGGGCGCAAGCCUGAUGCAGCGACGCCGCGUGAGGGAUGAAGGCCUUCGGGUUGUAAACCUCUUUCAGGAGGGACGAAGCGCAAGUGACGGUACCUCCAGAAGAAGCCCCGGCCAACUACGUGCCAGCAGCCGCGGUAAUACGUAGGGGGCGAGCGUUGUCCGGAUUCAUUGGGCGUAAAGAGCUCGUAGGCGGCUCAGUAAGUCGGCCGUGAAAGCCCAGGGCUCAACCCUGGGAGGCCGGCCGAUACUGCUGUGGCUAGGGUCCGGUAGAGGAGAGUGGAAUUCCCGGUGUAGCGGUGAAAUGCGCAGAUAUCGGGAGGAACACCAGUAGCGAAGGCGGCUCUCUGGGCCGGUACCGACGCUGAGGAGCGAAAGCUAGGGGAGCAAACAGGAUUAGAUACCCUGGUAGUCCUAGCCGUAAACGUUGGGCACUAGGUGUGGCGGAUUCAUUGACAUCUGCCGUGCCGUAGCUAACGCAUUAAGUG